UUAAGUUAAAAAGGGCGCAUGGUGAAUGCCUUGGCACUAGAAGCCGAUGAAGGACGGGACUAACACCGAUAUGCUUCGGGGAGCUGUACGUAAGCUUUGAUCCGGAGAUUUCCGAAUGGGGAAACCCAGCAGCUUUAAUCAGCUGUUACUAUAUAGUGAAUUCAUAGCUAUAUAGAGGUAGACGUGGGGAACUGAAACAUCUCAGUACCCACAGGAGCAGAAAGAAAUUUCGAUUCCCUAAGUAGCGGCGAGCGAACGGGGAACAGCCCAAACCAACGAGCUUGCUCGUUGGGGUUGUAGGACUGAACAUUUGAGUUACCAAAGUUGUUGAUAAUCGAACAAUCUGGGAAGGUUGGCGAAACAGGGUGAUAGCCCCGUAGGUGAAAUCAAUGACCCUCAGUUCAGGAUCCUGAGUACGGCGACACACGUGAAACGUCGUCGGAAUCCGGGAGGACCAUCUCCCAAGGCUAAAUACUCUCUAGUGACCGAUAGUGAACCAGUACCGUGAGGGAAAGGUGAAAAGCACCCCGGAAGGGGAGUGAAAUAGUUCCUGAAACCAUGUGCCUACAAGCAGUUAGAGCCCGUUAAUGGGUGAUAGCGUGCCUCUUGUAGAAUGAACCGGCGAGUUACGGUAACAUGCAAGGUUAAGGUUUAAAAGCCGGAGCCGCAGCGAAAGCGAGUCUGAAAUGGGCGUUUGAGUAUGUUGCUGUAGACCCGAAACCAGGUGAUCUACCCAUGUCCAGGCUGAAGGUGCGGUAAAACGCACUGGAGGGCCGAACCCGUGUACGUUGAAAAGUGCUGGGAUGAGGUGUGGGUAGCGGUGAAAUUCCAAACGAACUUGGAGAUAGCUGGUUCUCUCCGAAAUAGCUUUAGGGCUAGCCUCGGACGUAGAAUCAUGGAGGUAGAGCCACUGUUUGGAUGAGGGGCCCGUCAUGGGUUACUAAGUUCAGAUAAACUCCGAAUACCAUUGAUUUUUAUCCGGGAGUCAGACGGUGAGUGAUAAGAUCCAUCGUCAAAAGGGGAACAGCCCAGACCACCAGUUAAGGUCCCUAAAUAUAUGCUAAGUGGAAAAGGAUGUGGAGUUGCAUAGACAACUAGGAUGUUGGCUCAGAAGCAGCCAUCAUUUAAAGAGUGCGUAAUAGCUCACUAGUCGAGUGAUUCCGCGCCGAAAAUUUACCGGGGCUAAGCAUAUUACCGAGACUGUGGACUUGACCUUUGGUCAAGUGAUAGGAGAGCGUUCUAAGGGCAAUGAAGCCAGACCGUAAGGACUGGUGGAGCGCUUAGAAGUGAGAAUGCCGGUAUGAGUAGCGAAAGAUCAGUGAGAAUCUGAUCCACCGAAUGACUAAGGUUUCCUGGGGAAGGCUCGUCCUCCCAGGGUUAGUCGGGACCUAAGCCGAGGCCGAAAGGCGUAGGCGAUGGAUAACAGGUUGAGAUUCCUGUACUAGUUGAUGAUGUUUGAGCGAUGGAGGGACGCAGGAGGCUAAGUUGUGCAUCCAGUUGGAAAGGGAUGUUCAAGCAACGAGUCAGUCAAUGAGUUAAAUGCUUAUUGGCGGGUUGACAAGUUGUGAUGAGGACCGAAAUUUAAGUAGGGAAGCAACCAACGUCACACUGCCGAGAAAAGCUUCUAGUGAGUCAUCAACUACCCGUACCGCAAACCGACACAGGUAGUCGAGGAGAGAAUCCUCAGGUGAGCGAGUGAACUCUCGUUAAGGAACUCGGCAAAAUGACCCCGUAACUUCGGGAGAAGGGGUGCUGUGCGCAAGCACAGCCGCAGUGAAAAGGCCCAGGCGACUGUUUAUCAAAAACACAGGUUUCUGCAAAAUCGUAAGAUGACGUAUAGGGGCUGACGCCUGCCCGGUGCUGGAAGGUUAAGUGGAUGAGUUAGCUUCGGCGAAGCCCAGAAAUGAAGCCCCAGUAAACGGCGGCCGUAACUAUAACGGUCCUAAGGUAGCGAAAUUCCUUGUCGGGUAAGUUCCGACCCGCACGAAAGGCGUAACGAUCUGGGCACUGUCUCAACGAGAGACUCGGUGAAAUUAAGAUACCUGUGAAGAAGCAGGUUACCCGCGACAGGACGGAAAGACCCCAUGGAGCUUUACUGUAGCUUGAUAUUGGGUGUUGACACAGCUUGUACAGGAUAGGUAGGAGCCAUUGAAGCCGGAACGCUAGUUUCGGCAGAGGCGUUGGUGGGAUACUACCCUCGCUGUAUGAACACUCUAACCCGCGCCACUCAGCGUGGCGGGAGACAGUGUCAGGUAGGCAGUUUGACUGGGGCGGUCGCCUCCCAAACAGUAACGGAGGCGCCCAAAGGUUCCCUCAGAAUGGUUGGAAAUCAUUCAACGAGUGUAAAGGCAGAAGGGAGCUUGACUGCGAGACAGACAGGUCGAGCAGGGACGAAAGUCGGGCUUAGUGAUCCGGUGGUACCGUAUGGAAGGGCCAUCGCUCAACGGAUAAAAGCUACCCUGGGGAUAACAGGCUUAUCUCCCCCAAGAGUCCACAUCGACGGGGAGGUUUGGCACCUCGAUGUCGGCUCAUCGCAUCCUGGGGCUGUAGUCGGUCCCAAGGGUUGGGCUGUUCGCCCAUUAAAGCGGUACGCGAGCUGGGUUCAGAACGUCGUGAGACAGUUCGGUCCCUAUCCGUCGCGGGCGUAGGAAAUUUGAGAGGAGCUGUCCUUAGUACGAGAGGACCGGGAUGGACAUACCGCUGGUGUACCAGUUGCGCCGCCAGGCGCACCGCUGGGUAGCUACGUAUGGAUGAGAUAAACGCUGAAAGCAUCUAAGUGUGAAACUCACCUCAAGAUGAGAUUUCCCAUUCCUAUAUGGAAGUAAGACCCCUGAGAGAUGAUCAGGUAGAUAGGUUGGAAGUGGAAGUGCAGUGAUGUACGGAGCGGACCAAUACUAAUCGGUCGAGGACUUAACC
rnacentral:rRNA from 2 species